ACAAGUUUGUUAUCUAACCAGUGUUGUCAGACACGUUCAGUGGCAGGGGAUUGUAAUUUUAAAAGCUAUAAUCUGAAGAGGGCAAGACCCUCAUAUCCUUCUUCCUUUGGGGUCUGGGAAGCGCGUGCCCGUUUGGCUGCGAGGCUGCGUCCGGGUUCUCACUCCUUCACUUUCAGGCCUCUGGGCCUCCCUCCCAUCUCUCCACUUGCAGGUGCCUGCGAAGCCUCCCUUGUCCCCUAUCUCCUCUCCCCCUCCCAGAGUCCUUCUUCUGAAGCGUCCCUGCCCCACUACUGGCCUCCCCGCCUCCCGUCUUCUCCCUUCUCCCUUCCCUCUUCUCUCUUCUCGGCCUCCUCGGCUUACCCCGACCGUCUCCCCUCACUGCUUCUCCUGCCAGGCGGCCUCCCAGCCUCUCCUCUUCUCUCCCCACAGCCUUGCCGCCGCACAUCAGGAAGUCGGACUCCCGCGGCUGCGCGAGUGCGCAAGACACACAGGGGCCCCGCGCGCAGACGCUCCCCGAGGCCUCGCGGCGGCCACGCGGAGACCGCCCUCGCCGCCCGCGCCUGGCCAGACCCGCGGCGCCAAAGCCCCCGCCGCCUGCGGACAACCAGGCCAGCUUCCGUGAGGCAGCACACGCGUCCACAGGUACGCGCCUGGCGCAAGCCGAGAACCGCGCGUCGCCGCGCCGCAGGCUCCCAUCGGAGGUCGCGCCGAGACGCGCGCGCUCACAGGCCCUACGCUCCCCUGCCGCUUGGCCGCCCGCGCGCGCCGCCGAGGGCCCCGGUGGCCCUGCCCACCCCAAUCGGCCGCGCGCCGUCGCCGAGCCUCAGUCUCAGCUUCGGCUUCAGCCGCGGAGGGACGCAAAGCCUGGCGCCGAGCCCUGCUCGGGCGCCUGCCGGCCAGACAAGGACUGGCGCGAGGCGUUCUGCAAGAGCGAAUUCGGUGAGCCCGGCCGCCGCGCCGCCUCCCCGCGAGCCUUUCCGAGUCCCGGAGAAUCCUGCACGCGAGAUCCCAGGGCGCCCGACCCGUGCGGGCCGUUUCGCUGUUGCUAUAAACCAACGCUCGGGGACUGGGAGAGGAACUGGGGGUAGUGCUCUUCUCCAAACUUUUUUUUCGAAGCAGCGGUGA
rnacentral:lncRNA from 1 species